AUUGAACGCUGGCGGCAUGCUUUACACAUGCAAGUCGAACGGUAACAGGCCGCAAGGUGCUGACGAGUGGCGAACGGGUGAGUAAUGCAUCGGAACGUGCCCAGUCGUGGGGGAUAACGCAGCGAAAGCUGCGCUAAUACCGCAUACGAUCUAUGGAUGAAAGCGGGGGACCGUAAGGCCUCGCGCGAUUGGAGCGGCCGAUGUCAGAUUAGGUAGUUGGGGGGGUAAAGGCUCACCAAGCCGACGAUCUGUAGCUGGUCUGAGAGGACGACCAGCCACACUGGGACUGAGACACGGCCCAGACACCUGCGGGAGGCAGCAGUGGGGAAUUUUGGACAAUGGGGGCAACCCUGAUCCAGCAAUGCCGCGGGCAGGAAGAAGGCCGUCGGGUUGUAAACUGCUUUUGUACGGAACGAAACGGCUCUGGUUAAUACCCGGGGCUAAUGACGGUACCGUAAGAAUAAGCACCGGCUAACUACGUGCCAGCCGCCGCGGUAACAC
rnacentral:rRNA from 1 species